rnacentral:rRNA from 1 species
CCUACGGGAGGCAGCAGUGAGGAAUAUUGGUCAAUGGGCGCAAGCCUGAACCAGUCAUGCCGCGUGAAGGAUGAAGGUUCUAUGGAUUGUAAACUUCUUUUAUUUGGGAAUAAUGUGCUCCUUGCGAGGGGUAAUGACGGUACCAUUAGAAUAAGCCACGGCUAACUACGUGCCAGCAGCCGCGGUAAUA